AAGAUUUUAAGUUAAAUAAACUAAUAGCCUUCAAAGCUUUCAAUAAAGAAUCUCACUUUAAAUCUUA
rnacentral:tRNA from 1 species